UGGGAAUUUUGGACCAUUGGGGAAACCCUGAUCCAGCCAUCCCGCGUGUGCGAUGAAGGCCUUCGGGUUGUAAAGCACUUUUGGCAGGAAAGAAACGGCAUGGGUUAAUACCCCGUGAAACUGACGGUACCUGCAGAAUAAGCCCCGGCUAACUACGUGCCAGCAGCCGCGGUAAUACGUAGGGUGCAAGCGUUAAUCGGAAUUACUGGGCGUAAAGCGUGCGCAGGCGGUUCGGAAAGAAAGAUGUGAAAUCCCAGAGCUCAACUUUGGAACCGCAUUUUUAACUACCGGGCUAGAGUGUGUCAGAGGGAGGUGGAAUUCCGCGUGUAGCAGUGAAAUGCGUAGAUAUGCGGAGGAACACCGAUGGCGAAGGCAGCCUCCUGGGAUAACACUGACGCUCAUGCACGAAAGCGUGGGGAGCAAACAGG
rnacentral:rRNA from 1 species